rnacentral:lncRNA from 1 species
GCAUAGAAAACAUCGGAGGAGCCGGGCUUGGUGCCAUGCCAUGGUGCAACGGCAUUGGUGGAACUGUGUUAGGUGCCAUGCCAUGGUGCAAAGGCAUAGGAGGCAUCGGUGGAACUGUGUUAGGUGCCAUGCCAUGGUGCAAAGGCAUAGGAGGCAUUGGUGGAACUGUGUUAGGUGCCACGCCAUGGUGCAAAGGCAUAGAUGGCAUCGGUGAAACUGUGUUAGGUGCCAUGCCAUGGUUCAGAGGCAUAUGAGGCAUUGGUGGAACUGUGUUAGGUGCCAUGCCAUGGUGCAAAGGCAUAGGAGGCCUUGGUGGAACUGUGUUAGGUGCCAUGCCAUGCAAAGGCAUAGGAGGCCUUGGUGGAACUGUGUUAGGUGCCAUGCCAUGGUGCAAAGGCAUAGGAGGCCUUGGUGGAACUGUGUUAGGUGCCAUGCCAUGGUGCAAAGGCAUAGGAAGCAUUGAUGGAACUGCGCUCGGUAAAAUUCCAUGGCUCAAAUUUGGAGGAAUGAUGGGGUUUUGCA